rnacentral:rRNA from 1 species
GCUUGUCUCAAAGAUUAAGCCAUGCAUGUCUAAGUUCAUGCCGUAUUAAGGCGAAACCGCGAAUGGCUCAUUAAAUCAGUUAUGGUUCCUUGGAUCGUACUUUACUACUUGGAUAACUGUGGCAAUUCUAGAGCUAAUACAUGCAGCAGAGCUCCGACCUUCGGGGACGAGCGCUUUUAUUAGACCAAAACCGAUCGAGGCUUCUGCUUCGUUUCCGUGGUGACUCUGUAUAACUUUGGGCUGAUCGUAUGGCCUUGUGCCGACGACGUUUCCUUCGAAGGUGUGCCCUAUCAACUGUCGACUGUGAUAUAGACGCUCACAGUGGUUUUGACGGGUAACGGGGAAUCAGGGUUCGAUUCCGGAGAGGGAGCCUUAAAAACGGCUACCACAUCCAAGGAAGGCAGCAGG